rnacentral:rRNA from 1 species
UGGGGAAUAUUGGACAAUGGGCGAAAGCCUGAUCCAGCCAUGCCGCGUGUGUGAAGAAGGUCUUCGGAUUGUAAAGCACUUUAAGUUGGGAGGAAGGGCAGUUACCUAAUACGUAUCUGUUUUGACGUUACCGACAGAAUAAGCACCGGCUAACUCUGUGCCAGCAGCCGCGGUAAUACAGAGGGUGCAAGCGUUAAUCGGAAUUACUGGGCGUAAAGCGCGCGUAGGUGGUUUGUUAAGUUGGAUGUGAAAUCCCCGGGCUCAACCUGGGAACUGCAUUCAAAACUGACUGACUAGAGUAUGGUAGAGGGUGGUGGAAUUUCCUGUGUAGCGGUGAAAUGCGUAGAUAUAGGAAGGAACACCAGUGGCGAAGGCGACCACCUGGACUGAUACUGACACUGAGGUGCGAAAGCGUGGGGAGCAAACAGGAUUAGAUACCCCUGUAGUCCCUGAGCGGGCUGGCAAGGCGCAU